CCCUAUGCAGCGUGGUAGCUGAUUUAACAAGUUAACAAAAAAUGGACCGAUUUCUUCAUUCGAGCACCAUCCACGUCAUCAAGCGAACCUGAUACUGAACAUAUACCUUCAAAACGGUCUCGAAAAUGUGAUGAAUCAUUUCUUCAGUAUUGAUUUACGAGCGUCAUCGAGUACAGCAAGGACAAGCCCAAAUGCCUCUCGUGCGGUAAUGUGCUGUCUACGGAGAGUAUGAAACCAAACAAACUUAAAAGACACUUUGAGACAACACACAAAGAAUGCAUGGGCAAGCCAAAAUCAUAUUUCAAAAGAAAACGUGAUGAGCUGAGCAAGCAAAGGAUGCACUUUGGAAAGUUUCCCUUCGCAAGUAUUUUUUUGCAGGAUUUAUCACUCUUGUUUGCAUGAUAUCAAAGUACCGGUCCAGGCUAGAUGUCACAGAUGAGAUGAGAUGCGCGCUCUCGACACCCCCUGACUUUGAUUAAGCGCACCAUCCCAUUAGACAUGUGGGUCACCUCUGCCGUGGGGCACCUCUGCCGUGGGUCACCUCUGCCGUGGGGCACCUCUGCCGUGGAGCACCUCUGCCGUGGGUCACCUCUGCCGUAGGGCACCUCUGUCGUGGAGCACUCUGCCGUGGGUCACCUCUGUCCCCAAGCGAAACUGCGCCGCCGUUCGGGUGCAAUUGCUGCGGCUCCAGUUUAGGCCAGAACGUCUCUGGCUUGCUGACAGGGAUUCCACAAAUUCGACUGCAACGCUUCCCCCUAUCUGUGUCCCCCUGUUACAGCCUGGCCUCCACCCGUGCCCAGUAGAUAUGCAUAUCAAGCCGUUUCGUGCUGGAAUGAACUGUGGUCACUUGCAUACAAUACAAAAAAAACACAAAUCGCCCAGCAUGCAUUGCGAUAAAGCAACUGUCUUGAUGACCAG